rnacentral:pre_miRNA from 1 species
AUCACCAGGGGAUCUUGUUAAAAUGUGUUGGUAGGUUUGGGUGGGGCCUGAGAUUCUGCAUUUCUAACAAGUUCCCCGGUGAAGCC